GUUCUUCAAAGGUAUUAUUCAGUCGUAAACAAAAUAAUAGCCUACUGAAUAGGCUACUCUACAGCAGUGAAUGAAGGAUGAGCCUAAAACAUGGUCAUGCAUCCAAAAUGUUUAUUUUUAACAAAAUAAACACUUUUUUUUAAAAAAUUAGCACUUUUUUGUAUUCAGCCUCAUAUGUCAGCCAUGGCUGUUGCUGCUGCUGCUGGCGGAGGCUGCUGCUGCUGAAGGAGGGUGCUGCUGCUGGAGGGUGCUGCUGCUGAAGGAGGGUGCUGCUGCUGGAGGAGGGUGCUGCUGCUGGAGGAGGGUGCUGCUGCUGGAGGGUGCUGCUGCUGAAGGAGGCUGGUGCUGGCAACGGCUGCAGGUGAUGACUGCUGAAAGAAGAGGAGGCUGGAGGCUGCUGACGGUGGACCAGGAAUGGAGAUGCCAAGUACAUCGAUGGCAACGAGUAAGGUGUUUGGCAGUGGCCUAGAUGUUAUGACCUUCGGUGCAGAGGUCUGUUGGGUCUUCUUUGCCUUCUUACUCUGACUCUUACUGCCAAGAUACCCUUUAUGUUUAUCCUUCCUCUCAGCCCUGAUGCACUUUGAUGCAAUCCUUAACCUCAGCCUGAUGUAUGUUGAGAGGAUUUUUUUCUUCAGGUCAUGGCAUGAGGGAAGGUUGCUGUCCAGCAACAUGGCUUCUUGUUCCAGCUGUGACACUGCAUUUGAGGACUCUAUGAGGGAAUCGCUCGUCCUCACACGGAACAGCUGCUCCACGUUCUGAACAAGGGUGAAAACCUCAUCAGAUGGACGUUGCCUCAUUAGAUCCUCCACGUGAGCCCGGUCACAACUGGCCCUUGGCAGUCUGGUCCCUGGAGCACCUGACCCUGGCAAACUGGCCUCUUCAUAGCUGACCCCUGACUGACUGGCUCCUGGCACACUGAUCUCUGGGAAGCCAUACAUCCGGAACCCCUUCUCGGAUCGAUUAGAGCAUCCAAAUGCUGCACAUCCAACCAUGGGCCCAGGAAACAGAUGAAGAGGAUGAACCUUUUUGUUUUUUCAAAAUGGUUAGGCUCCUGGAUGACUUAGAGUUCUGUAUUGCUUUUUUGUAAAUAGUUGCUUACCCUAACCCUUUUUUGUAAAUAGUUGUUUGUAAAUAUUUGUAAAAUGUUUACAAACCCCCCCCCCCACAAUUGUUGUUCGCACAAUUACAGUAUGCUUCUGUUUUUCACUUUUUGGUGUCCAUUGUUCAGCCACUGUAUUGGUAAGCAACAAUUUGUUUUGGCCAAAAUGUGUUAUUCACACUCCUGACUCCAGUUUGAUGUGCUGCACUCCUCUGAGUGGUCCUGAUUUCAGGCAGAGGUCAUGGCUUGGAAGGUUUUAUAUCCUGUAGUGCCACAACAGAACCUAAUAUGAAUUGCUUUUUUCAGUUUCUCUUUUUUUUGUAUUGUCUCGUCGCUGGAUCAUAGAAGAACAUGACAGCGCAGCGCAACUAUACUACGGACGUGACUGCCCUGGCAGUGACAGCAACAUAGCCUGCUUGUGCUACCACACUUUCCCCUCAAAAUAUCGUUAAAUAACGAAACUUGUAAAUAGUGCCAAUCCAUACAAAGUGUAACCACAUCAUGUAAAUAUGAAAGCAAUCUUUAAAAAAUAACAGCGUUGGUUUAAUCUAUAACUAUUUUGAGCAUGUUUGUGCUGCUUUUGCCAUAGAGAAGCAUUGCAACGGAAGUGCGUUUGGAACUAUCCCGGCAUACAUAAACCACGUGACCGGCUGGCGGCGACAUCAAAGAGUGUCGUAACUCUUAUCUCUCUAGGGCUCUGUCCAUUGC